rnacentral:rRNA from 1 species
UACGUAGGGUGCAAGCGUUGUCCGGAAUUAUUGGGCGUAAAGAGCUCGUAGGCGGUCUGUCACGUCGGCUGUGAAAUCCCGAGGCUCAACCUCGGGUCUGCAGUCGAUACGGGCAAACUAGAGUAUUGCAGGGGAGACUGGAAUUCCUGGUGUAGCGGUGAAAUGCGCAGAUAUCAGGAGGAACACCGGUGGCGAAGGCGGGUCUCUGGGCAACAACUGACGCUGAGGAGCGAAAGCGUGGGGAGCGAACAGG